rnacentral:rRNA from 1 species
CUACGGGAGGCUGCAGUCGAGAAUAGUCUACAAUGGACGAAAGUCUGAUAGUGCGACGCCGCGUGGAUGAAGAAGCAUUUCGGUGUGUAAAGUCCUUUUCUGUGUGAGCAAUGUUUUCCAGGUUAAUAGCUUGGAGAAAGCGAUAUUAACACAGGAAUAAGCUCCGGCUAACUCCGUGCCAGCAGCCGCGGUAACACGGGGGGAGCAAGCGUUGUCCGGAAUUACUAGGCGUAAGGGGAAGUAGGCGGAAUUGUAAGUCAGAUGUUAAAGGCACCGGCUCAACCGGUGUAUGGCAUUUGAUUCUGUAAUUCUAGAGUAAGGUGGGGGGAGACGGAAUUCCUGGUGUAGCGGUGGAAUGCGCAGAUAUCAGGAGGAACACCAGAGGCGCAGGCGGUCUUCUAUACCAUUACUGACGCUCAAUUACGAAGGUGUGGGUAUCAAACAGGAUUAGAUACCCGCGUAGUC